rnacentral:rRNA from 1 species
CGCGUAGGCGGUGCGGUAAGUCUCUUGUGAAACCUCUGGGCUUAACUCAGAGCCUGCAGGAGAAACUGCCGUGCUGGAGUGUGGGAGAGGCGAGUGGAAUUCCCGGUGUAGCGGUGAAAUGCGUGGAUAUCGGGAGGAACACCAGUGGCGAAGGCGGCUCGCUGGGCCACAACUGACGCUGAGGCGCGAAAGCUAGGGGAGCAAACAGGAUUAGAUACCCUGGUAGUCCUAGCCUUAAACGAUGAAUGCUUGGUGUGAUCGGUAUCCAAUCCGAUCGUGCCGUAGUUAACGCGAUAAGCAUUCCGCCUGGGGAGUACGGUCGCAAGGCUGAA